rnacentral:rRNA from 1 species
GAUGAACGCUGGCGGCGUGCCUAAUACAUGCAAGUCGAGCGAACGGACGAGAAGCUUGCUUCUCUGAAGUUAGCGGCGGACGGGUGAGUAACACGUGGAUAACCUACCUAUAAGACUGGGAUAACGUCGGGAAACCGGAGCUAAUACCGGAUGAUAUUUUGAACCGCAUGGUUCAAAAGUGAAAGACGGUCUUGCUGUCACUUAUAGAUGGAUCCGCGCUGCAUUAGCUAGUUGGUAAGGUAACGGCUUACCAAGGCAACGAUGCAUAGCCGACCUGAGAGGGUGAUCGGCCACACUGGAACUGAGACACGGUCCAGACUCCUACGGGAGGCAGCAGUAGGGAAUCUUCCGCAAUGGGCGAAAGCCUGACGGAGCAACGCCGCGUGAGUGAUGAAGGUCUUCGGAUCGUAAAACUCUGUUAUUAGGGAAGAACAUAUGUGUAAGUAACUGUGCACAUCUUGACGGUACCUAAUCAGAAAGCCACGGCUAACUACGUG